rnacentral:tRNA from 1 species
UGGCUCAGUGGUAGAGCGCUUGCCUUGCAUGCCUGAGGCCCUGGGUUCGAUUCCAAG